GUCCAGUCUGUUGGAAAAGUUAAGGUUAUCAUUUUAUGGAAUGCUUGAGAAAUCAGUGUCUUCACCAUUGAUCUCUGCUAGAAUUUCUCCUGGUGACUGAAAAAACAAAAGGGCACACUCUGAAAUAUGCUGGUCCAAUCUUGUGCUGCAGCUGGAUGUAGUGAUCCUCACUUCCCCCAGUGAACGUGAGCAUGAACUAGUUGCAGCAGGUAUCUGAACAUUUUUGAAAGUACCAGAUAUUUACUGGCACUUUGAUUAAAGUUUGUCAAGUUGGUUCUUGGUAUUCCUGGCAUGCUUGAAGCAAAAUACUUUUGCAUAUCAACUUGUGACACGGAGUGAU